rnacentral:misc_RNA from 1 species
ACGUAUCUCUGGCGCGUGCCGGCGAGCCCUGCCGCGGCGUAAUUGCCGCGCGGGUUCACGGUGCCGUCCAACCUUAACAAACCCACUGUGCACAUUUGCGGCCGAGGGCGUCUGGGCGAGAGCUCGGGCGUUCGAUGCCGAUCACAAACUCCAGUUCAAUAGAAUGCCUAGCGGCCUCUGUGCCGUCUGAAACACAUAA